ACCGAUACUCAACGCAUGCACAACCGUCGUUCACUUUGAGCAACAACUCACGAUCGGGACAAUGAUUAGAUCAACACCCGCAAAAUGUUCCACAUCCCGGAGAACUGCCAGGUACCGUUGGCCAUUCCACCACAUCAUUUUACGCGGGUGGGUGGACAACGGGCCUAGCAAUAACAGUCCACCCGACAUCCCCGAGGGAAUGCCAAGCGGAAUUAUUCAGGAUGAGACAUCUUAAUUCCCUAAAGUAGGCAUCAAAAACAAGAAACCGUCUUAGCCCAAGGACAACAAGUGCUCUUUAGGCGAAGAAUGAAGAGGAUCGUCGUUCAACGGUUCGCUGCACAUGCAGAGAGCCCGCCAACCCAAGCGACCCGAACGCCACUCACGCGCUUCACGAAACGCUAUGCUAGGAUAAUUUCCCCUCACUCACCAGGCCACAACGUAGCCCCGU
rnacentral:misc_RNA from 1 species